rnacentral:rRNA from 1 species
AUGAACGCUGGCGGCGUGCCUAAUACAUGCAAGUCGAGCGAACAGACGAGGAGCUUGCUCCUCUGACGUUAGCGGCGGACGGGUGAGUAACACGUGGAUAGCCUACCUAUAAGACUGGGAUAACUUCGGGAAACCGGAGCUAAUACCGGAUAAUAUAUUGAACCGCAUGGUUCAAUAGUGAAAGACGGUUUUGCUGUCACUUAUAGAUGGAUCCGCGCCGCAUUAGCUAGUUGGUAAGGUAACGGCUUACCAAGGCGACGAUGCGUAGCCGACCUGAGAGGGUGAUCGGCCACACUGGAACUGAGACACGGUCCAGACUCCUACGGGAGGCAGCAGUAGGGAAUCUUCCGCAAUGGGCGAAAGCCUGACGGAGCAACGCCGCGUGAGUGAUGAAGGUCUUCGGAUCGUAAAACUCUGUUAUUAGGGAAGAACAAAUGUGUAAGUAACUAUGCACGUCUUGACGGUACCUAAUCAGAAAGCCACGGCUAACUACGUG